GUGUCAGCAGCCGCGGUAAAACGUAGGAGACAAACGUUAUCCGGAGUUACUGGGCGUAAAGGGCGUGUAGGUGGUUGUGUAAGUUCGGCGUGAAAUUUCUCGGCUUAACCGGGAGAGGUCGUCGGAUACUGCACGACUAGAGGACGGUAGAGGCGUGUGGAAUUCCGGGUGUAGUGGUGAAAUGCGUAGAGAUCCGGAGGAACACCAGUGGCGAAGGCGACACGCUGGGCCGUACCUGACACUGAGGCGCGAUAGCAUGGGGAGCAAACAGGAUUAGAAACCCUAGUAGUCC
rnacentral:rRNA from 1 species